AGCAAGCGUACAAAGGCAUACACGGCGGCCGAGGACAAGCUUCUUUGCGAGUGUUGGCGAGACAUUGGACAAGACCCCAAGACCGGCGCCGAACAAAAGCAUUCGAAUUUUUGGAUGCGUGUCCACCGGGAGUUUCAUGAGCGCAAGAAGUUUCCGCCUUACCAAAUUGUCAGCACGCGCGGGUGGGUGUCCAUUUCCAAGCGAUGGAGGGUGAUCCAACAAGAGUGCAACAAGUUUUGCGCCACUCUUGAGAGCAUCAAGGCCCGCCCCGUGAGUGGCAUCGGCAUGCAAGACAUGGUAUGCUAG
rnacentral:rRNA from 1 species